rnacentral:misc_RNA from 1 species
GAUGAAGAACGUAGCGAAAUGCGAUAAGUAAUGAGAAUUGCAGAAUUCAGUGAAUCAUCGAAUCUUUGAACGCACAUUGCGCCCGCCAGUAUUCUGGCGGGCAUGCCUGUUCGAGCGUCAUUACAACCCUCAGGCCCCCGGGCCUGGCGUUGGGGAGCGGCGGAGCCCCCCGUGGGCACACGCCGUCCCCCAAAUGCAGUGGCGGUCCCGCCGCAGCUUCCAUCGCGUAGUAGCUAACACCUCGCGACUGGAGAGCGGCGCGGCCACGCCGUAAAACACCCAACUCUUCUGAAGUUGACCUCGAAUCAGGUAGGAAUACCCGCUGAACUUAAGCAUAUCAAUAAGCGGAGGA